CACGUGGACAACCUACCCUUGGGUUCGGCAUAAUCCUGGGAAACUGGGGAUAAUUCCGGAUAGGUCACAGAUGCUGGAAUGCACUGUGGCUCAAAGCUCCGGCGCCCAAGGAUGGGUCUGCGGCCUAUCAGGGUUGUAGUGGGUGUAAUGUACCUACUAGCCUACGACGGGUACGGGUUGUGAGAGCAAGAGCCCGGAGAUGGAUUCUGAGACACGAAUCCAGGCCCUACGGGGUGCAGCAGGCGCGAAAACUUUACAAUGCGGGAAACCGUGAUAAGGGAAUCUCGAGUGCCAGCAUAUAAUGUUGGCUGUCCAGAUGCCUAAAAAGCAUCUGUUAGCAAGGGCCGGGCAAGACCGGUGCCAGCCGCCGCGGUAACACCGGCGGCCCGAGUGGUAACCGCUAUUAUUGGGUCUAAAGGGUCUGUAGCCGGCCAGGUAAGUCCCUUGGGAAAUCUGGCAGCUCAACUGUCAGGCUGCUAGGGGAUACUGUUUGGCUUGGGACCGGGAGAGGUGAGAGGUACCUUGGGGGUAGGGGUGAAAUCUUGUGAUCCUCGGGGGACCACCAGUGGCGAAGGCGUC
rnacentral:rRNA from 1 species